UGAGGGAUAUUGGGCAAUGGGGGAAACCCUGACCCAGCGACGCCGCGUGAGGGAAGACGGUCUUCGGAUUGUAAACCUCUGUCUUUGGGGACGAAAAAGGACGGUACCCAAGGAGGAAGCUCCGGCUAACUACGUGCC
rnacentral:rRNA from 1 species